AGUGAACGCUGGCGGUAUGCUUAACACAUGCAAGUCGAACGGCAGCACAGUAAUAGCUUGCUCUUACGGGUGGCGACGGGCGGGCGGGUGAGGAAUACAUCCCAAUCUACUGUUUCGUAGUAGUCAACGUAGGGAAACUUACGCCAAUCCCGCAUACGACGUACGGGUGAAAUCAUGGGACCUUCGGUUCUUUCGCGGUUGAAUGAGCCGAUGUCGGAUUAGCUAGUUGGUGGGGUAAUGGCCCACCAAGGCGACGAUCCGUAGCUGGUCUGAGAGGAUGAUCAGCCACACUGGAACUGAGACACGGUCCAGACUCCUACGGGAGGCAGCAGUGGGGAAUAUUGGACAAUGGGCGCAAGCCUGAUCCAGCCAUACCGCGUGGGUGAAGAAGGCCUUCGGGUUGUAAAGCUCUUUUGUUGGGGAAGAAAAGCAGCAGGUUAAUACCUCGCUGUUCUGACGGUACCUAGAGAAGAAGCACCGGCUAACUACGUG
rnacentral:rRNA from 1 species